AUAAAUUUGAAAUUAGCAAGGGUUCUAUUUUAGCUAAUUUUUUUGAUAAAGUUGAGAAAAUGACUCCUGAAGAAAGAGGAAAGGAACUCGAAAAUAAUAAGAGCAUUGAAUUGUUACAUCAUGAAUGUUCUGGUGGCCAAGCAUCUGUAGGAGAUGAUAUAAAUGUUAACACACAUUAUAUUAUUUUAAUGGAACAUAAUGGAGAAAUUAUCGAAUUGGAUGGAAGGAAAAAACGAACCAAUUAGUCAUGGUCAAAGGACUUCCAGUGAAUUCAUAUACGAUGUAGCAAAAAUA